rnacentral:ncRNA from 1 species
AGGUUUGCCUCCGCAUUUGGUUCCGCCCCGCGGCGGAUUAAAAGGGAAUCCGGUGUAAAACCGGAGCUAUCCCCGUAGCUGUAAUCCUGCAUUUAUCGUCAGAUAAAUUGUUUUUCCGGAUGAACUCCAUACCACUGUCUGCCUGCCCGGCAGAUGGGAAGGUCCCGGAAAAGCAGGUAAGCCAGAAGACCUGCCUUUUGUAAUUGAUCAUU